CCAGGCUGCAAAACAGGAGCUUUGAGUGCCAGGAGGCGACACCGAUCAGCCUCCUUAGGAGCACAGACCCUGCCCCAGGGCGUUCAGUCCCUGAGGCUGAAGAGUGCAGGUGACACUGCCUCCCGCCCUCCUGAGCCUCUCCCUGUUAGUGCCUGAAGUCCAGCGGAAGCGGCCCCAGGGACCCUGCCUCCACUGAGGCCUCGUCAGUCAGAGAAUGACGCUUCCCAGGAAACAGCGACCAGGGUGCACAUGAGCCUGGUUAGAGCCAUGAGACCAGUGAGACUGGAUUUGAUGACUUCUGUGUGAAGUAUCAGAAAUGCAGACUUGCUUUCUGCCCCCGGACUUGAACCUGACAUGACUGCACCACUGGCUUCCACUCAGGGAAUCCACGUGCUGGGCUGUGGCCUACCCAGUGGACUGAGCACAAGGAGGAAGACAGGGAAGCCAGGUCCUAGAGCUCCUCCGAGCACCUGCGUCCAGCUGCGCCUGAAGCCAGCCCAGCCCCGGAAUUCUUCUGCUAUGCCAGCCAACAAAUUCCUCCUUCUGCUUAGCUGUGCUGGGUUGGGCUUCCUGUCUUACAAUCAAAACAGCUCAAUGUGAAAUCUGAAA